UAAAAACGACGUAGCUAACAUGCAACGCUUUCCAUUCUAUUGCUGGCGUGCUGGGAAUUGGAAUUUAACACCCUGUCAAUAUGCUGUUAUGUCAUGUCUGACAUUAUGCUUCCACAACAGAGACAACUUCACAUGUAGGGGACGUCAACAGUUCGGGGGGAGAGAGAGAGAAAUGGAGGACAUUAACUAACCUGGAAGGCCAUGGAGUUGGCGGCUGCGAGGAAGACUCUGAGAGGAAGCUUGGCCCUGUAGGAGCGGUGGCUCCACAGCCGAUGGGCCCCUGCUGUCACCCCCAGGGCUGUCACGAUGAAACACACGUAGGCUGCAACAACACACCAGAAGAGACGACAGUCAUUUUUUUUUAAAAUGAAUAAACAUAUAGGUGAAUACCCUCCUGUUACACACCUGA